GGUGGCUCAGUGGUAGAGCUCUUGUCUUGCAUGCAUAAGGCCCUGGGUUCAAUUCCUCAGCACCA
rnacentral:tRNA from 1 species